CUUGCGGCUCAACUUGACUCAACGCGGGGUAUCCUACCAGGCCCUGACACUCGAAGGAUUGACAGAUUGAGAGCUCUUUCUUGAUUGGGUGCGUGGUGGUGCAUGGCCGUUCGUCGUUCGUGCGGUGACGUGUCUGCUUAAUUGCGAUAACGAACGAGACUCUAGCCUACUAACUAGUCGAAACCGGCAUCCAUAGUGCAGCCGGCGACUCUAUAUCUUCUUAGAGGGACAAAUGAUAUAUAGUCAUACGAGAAUGAGCAAUAACAGGUCUGUGAUGCCCUUAGAUGUUCUGGGCUGCACGCGUGCCACACUGAAGGAAUCAACGUGUGUUUUCCUAGCACGUGAGUGCCGGGUAACCCGUUGAACCUCCUUCGUGCUAGGGAUUGGGGCUUGAAAUUAUUCCCCACGAACGAGGAAUACCUAGUAAGCGUGAGUCAUAACCUCGCGUUGAUUAUGUCCCUGUCCUUUGUCCACACCGCCCGUCGCUACUACCGAUUGAAUGAUUUAGUGAGGUCUUCGGACUAGUACACGAUAUUAAUUUUAUAUUAAUAUACGAUGUUACCAGAAAGAUGACCGAACUUGAUUAUUUAGAGGAAGUAAAAGUCGUACA
rnacentral:rRNA from 1 species